rnacentral:lncRNA from 1 species
CCGCUCUGCCCUCAGCUGCUGUGUGAGCCGGGGCAAGUCGCUCCAGUUCUCUGAGCCAGGUUUCCCCAUCUGUAAAGCAGGGAUAACAUCAACCCCUUCCUCCCAGGUUGUCCUGAGGGAGGAUUCAGUGGGGUCAGGCCAGGCACACGGUAAGCUCUCCGUGAAUGUUAGCCUCUGUUGGGAGAGUUAAUGUCCCUUCCUCCAGGAAGCCCCUGCCCCCCGACCAGCGUAGCUAAGUAGCUUCCACUGCCGCCCCCACUCCUGCCACUCUGUCACAUUGCCCCAUUGUUUCUGUCAUUGCCCUGGUCACAGUCUGGACUUUUCUGACUUACUUGGUUUGGCACAAGAAUCCCCCACUUGCCCCCCAACCCCUGUGCCCCUUGAAGCAAGAGAUUCCCAGGUGUUUAGUGCUGUGUGACAAGCCACCUUAAAACUGAGUCAGGCCUCUGGGCAGGGCUCAGCUGGGACGGCUCAUCUCGGCUCCAGGCCUUGUUGGAGGAUCCCGAUGGCUUCACCCUCAUGCCGGCCCCGCAGCCAGACCACCGAGCUGUAACGUCAGGAUUUUCUUUUUCGAGUUCUGAAGUCUGCACGGAUGCUGCCCUGGAGGAAAAGGAACAUGGUCCCUCUUGUGUCUUGAGAAGACCCUCUGCUGCCUCCUGUGCAGACACACACUUUCCCCACCGCAGAAGCCAGGGCACGAGCCCGAACACGGCUGCAGGGAUCCCACUGUCCUCGCCGAGGCCACGGAGCACCUCCCGGGCACGCGGAGCCUGCCCGGCCUGCAGGCUCCUGCACACUCCCUGUUGUGGCUUAAAGGUCCCCCUGUGCCGUCCGGGGUCUUCCUGUGGAAAGAGAAGAGGAAGCCACCCUAAGAGGGCGUCUCGAGUGCUGCAUGGGGUCCUGGACGUGCAGGUUUAGCACAGCGCCUGGCACAGAGCGAGGAGCGGCGCACGACAGCUAGAAGUCCCUGUGAUUAAUCCUGAGAAAGGAACGUCCCAUCCGAAUCAGAGAGGAGGAGGACAGGCUCGCCACAGACUCGCAUCAGAAGUGGAGGCCUCCCUCCAGACUCUGUUGGUGAGAGGUGGCAAGCGCAGGUUCCAUCAGCAGCAUUCAUGAUUCCUAUUUGCAGAAGAAAAAGUGGGACCUAGAAAGGCGUCAGGUUGGGAGGGGGGGACACCAAAAAUGCCUUGAGCGUGGCCCGUGCAGGAGCAGCAUUCGAUGCCCUCCAGGGCAGAGAGUACUCAUCCAGCAGAGCAAAUCUAACCCUUGUACGGGGUGCACAAAGCCCCCAGCCACCGGAAAAGGCCUUGGCCCUGCUCUGUCCCACCCCUGCACCAGCUCUGACCCCGAGGGUCCAGGAGCUCGGGGUGGCCAAGACAGCGGGGCAAGGAGAACGGAAGAGCAGGCUGUCAGCUCUCCAGGGACCAGGUCCCCCCAGCAGCUCUGCAAAGAGCUUCCUCCAUUCCCUCCUGGGCCCUCGUCUUUCUCGCUCUCCAGCGUUCCCCGUGCAACCUACACCCAUGUGCCCCAGAGGCCCAGACCCAGAUGUCCAGCCCCAACCUGGGGGCUGCCACCCAAAUGUCCCCCUGGCCUGAAACUCAGCAUGUCCAGACUGAACUCACCAACUUCGCCCUCCUCGUCCCACCCACGAGGUGCCCACCCCACUGCGCCCAUCCCAUCCCCCAGCCAGCUCUGCCCAGCCAGCUUUUUCUCUCCCCCCUUGGGCCAGCAGAUCUUUGAGGACACAGCCAGCCAGGGACCUCUUCUGUGUCACUUAUUCCACCCACGGGCACACUGGCAUAUUUAGUCAGAUCAUUUUGACUGCUUUUCUGCAGAGGAGAAUUUCCCUUUCUCUUGAACUCCACAACCUUUCAUUUGUUAAAUAUCUGCUGAAUGCCUUAAAAAAUACAGUUUUAUUGAGAUAUAAUGCAUAUACCAUAAACAGAUCAGCCAUUUAAAGUAUACAAUUCAAUGGUUUUUAGUAUUUU